rnacentral:rRNA from 1 species
CUACGGAAGGCAGCAGUGGGGAAUCUUGCGCAAUGGACGAAAGUCUGACGCAGCGACGCCGCGUGGGGGAUGACGGGUUUCGGCUUGUAAACCCCUGUUGCCCGGGACGAACUUCUCCUUUCGAGGAGAUUGACGGUACCGGGUGAGGAAGCACCGGCUAACUCUGUGCCAGCAGCCGCGGUAAUACAGAGGGUGCGAGCGUUGUCCGGAAUCACCGGGCGUAAAGGGCGCGUAGGUGGCGCUGCAAGUCGGUGGUGAAAGCUCGUCGCUUAACGACGAGUCGGCCAUCGAAACUGCAGGGCUGGAGCACUGUAGGGGCAGAUGGAAUUCCGGGUGUAGGGGUGGAAUGCGUAGAGAUCCGGAAGAACACCGGUGGCGAAGGCGGUCUGCUGGGCAGUUGCUGACACUGAUGCGCGACAGCGUGGGGAGCAAACAGGAUUAGAUACCCUCGUAU